rnacentral:sRNA from 1 species
ACGCCGUUGGCGAAGCCAGGCUGUCCUAGGAAGCCGAGUGGGAGUGGCACGGAGCUGCUGGAGGUGCUGAGAACCUGAGUUUCGGCAAGCAGCCAGAAUAUUUUAAAAAUGACUACACCAAACAAGACACCUCCUGGUGCUGACCCCAAGCAGUUGGAAAGGACUGGAACAGUACGGGAAAUUGGGUCACAAGCUGUUUGGUCACUCUCAUCUUGCAAACCAGGAUUUGGAGUGGAUCAGUUACGAGAUGACAAUCUAGAAACUUAUUGGCAAUCAGAUGGUUCCCAGCCUCAUUUAGUGAACAUCCAAUUCAGCAACUUGAGUUGGUGGAACCAAGUGGCUGGAUUCAUGUUCCCUUAACUGACAAUCAUAAGAAGCCAACUCGUACAUUCAUGAUACAGAUUGCUGUUCUAGCCAAUCACCAAAAUGGAAGAGACACCCAUAUGAGACAAAUUAAAAUAUACACACCAGUAGAAGAGAGCUCCAUUGGUAAAUUUCCUAGAUGUACAACUAUAGAUUUCAUGAUGUAUCGUUCAAUAAGGUGACUUUAAAAUGAGAUGAAAAUCAUUAAAUGUAUCUUUGUUUUAUCCUGUAUUUAAAUAAUAUAUCAGGUACCUUUAUUGAACAAGGCAUCCGUUAUAUGUAAUUUUGUAUAUGUUUAAAAAUAUUUUAUUGUAACUUUGACAAAUAAAUUUGGGGUCAUAUUAUCUUUAUUUUCUUUA